rnacentral:rRNA from 1 species
AUACGUUGGGGGCGAGCGUUGUCCGGAAUGAUUGGGCGUAAAGGGCGCGUAGGCGGCCCGGUAAGUCUGGAGUGAAAGUCCUGUUUUUAAGAUGGGAAUUGCUUUGGAUACUGUCGGGCUUGAGUGCAGGAGAGGUAAGUGGAAUUCCCAGUGUAGCGGGGAAAUGCGUAGAGAUUGGGAGGAACACCAGUGGCGAAGGCGACUUACUGGACUGUAACUGACGCUGAGGCGCGAAAGUGUGGGGAGCAAACAGGAUUAGAUACCCUGGUAGUCCACACUGUAAACGAUGAAUGCUAGGUGUAGGGGGUAUCGACCCCUUCUGUGCCGCAGUCAACACAAUAAGCAUUCCGCCUGGGGAGUACGUUCGCAAGAAUGAAACUCAAAGGAAUUGACGGGG